UACGUAGGUGGCAAGCGUUGUCCGGAUUUAUUGGGGUUUAAAGGGUGCGUAGGCGGUUCUGUAAGUCAGUGGUGAAAUCCGGCAGCUCAACUGUCGAUGUGCCAUUGAUACUGCAGAACUUGAGUACAGACGAGGUAGGCGGAAUUGACGGUGUAGCGGUGAAAUGCUUAGAUAUCGUCAAGAACACCGAUAGCGAAGGCAGCUUACUAGACUGUAACUGACGCUGAUGCACGAAAGUGUGGGGAUCAGACAGG
rnacentral:rRNA from 1 species